AGAGUCCAUAUUGUACAGAAGAAUUGGUCUUCCAGGCCACUUCCUGGACUGACCCACACUGCUCUCCAUCAAAUUCUCAGGUCUGAUUAGGGUUGGCAACACCAUCCCUCAUAGUUUCGUAUAUCAGAUUCAGUCUUUUCUAGUUGCAUGUGACCUCCUAUUUAAGGGGGAGGAGUAAAAUUUCUCCUUAGAUGUAUGUGUAGUCAUUCGUGUCCUACUCUCUGUGACCCCGUGGACUGUAGCCCCACCAGUCUCCUCUGUCCAUGGAAUUCUCCAGGCAGGAAUACUGGAGGGGGUCGCCAUGCCCUCCUCCAGGGGAUCUUCCCCACCCAGGGAUCGAACCCGCGUCUCCUGUGUCUCCUGCGUUGCAGGCGGGUUCUUUCCCCACUGAACCAUCGGGGAAGCCCUGCGGCAGAAAAGCAGGUCUCUGUGGAGGGCCGGUCUCUCACAUCUUCGUGGCCGGAAAAUCACGGCAGGAAACCCGCAGUGUUUUGCCGGGACCAAGGGAUUUGGGCACAGACCGACCUACCUGAAGUCUACCAAAACCCUCUUGAAGAAAGAUCCCUUGCCGUCGUGUCUGGGACUUCUGCCAUCGAGCUCCUCCCGCUCCUCUUCCUCCUCUUCUUUUUCAUCUGCCUGUGCUGCUGUGGAGGCCAACAGGGUUCCACUGAUAAUGAGACCAAGAGCCAACCGGAUUUUAACAGCUCUAACCCUGGCAUGGACUUCUCAGAAGAAAAUCCCGACGAUGUCUCGGUGCACCUCCCACCAGAGGAGGACAGGCAGAGGGACAUGCAGGUCCACCCCGAGGAAUGCCCAUGGGGCUCUUCUGAGUCCUCCGCUGAGCCACACCAGGAUUCCUUCAUGGAGAGUGAGGUUUCACUCCCAUCUUGCAGCCCUGAGGACUCCUCAGUAUAGCCCCGCAUGGACCCGCCUUCACUUCAUCCAGAGAGCGGAGCUGGAGCUGGCUGUGUGCCCUCCAUGGCGCAAGGGCCCCUUAAGGAGUGUGCGGAUUCUUUUACCACUGCUCCACCUGGGAAGCCCCAGUCCUCACUUUGGAGCUCCCCGAAGACUCAAGAAUACAGAAGCCUUGUCAGUCGUCAAGAAAUUCUGGGAUAUGAGAGAUGGAACUUUUCCUGCCAUAUCAGUGAACAAAGGGUAUCACAGUCAUGGGCGAUGACGGCCACCACGGCUGCUGAGCUGGUGAGCCCUGAGGGUGCUCAGGAAGGAAAGAACACAGCCAUCUAGCAGCCAUCAGACUGCGGCCACCACUGAGGGUGAGCUCGGAGGGAACUUGGGACGUGAAAACAGCAGGAUCCUGGCCCCAGACAGCUGAGGCGCGCAUCGAAGUGAUGAUUUCAGCGAGCCCGGACGCUUCCAUCUUCCCAUACGUAGAAAAGCGCUAAAUUCUCUAACUUGGGAUAGUUGGUUUUCUUUAAUUGGCGGUAGCGUUCGAGGUUCAGAUUAUCUGCCUUUUGUUGCGAAGCUUCUUUAUUACCUGGCUCCUCCCCUCGCCUCCUCUGAGCAGUUCUCUCGGGGUUACUUGAGAUGCUGCCUCCCGGGCUUGAGUCCUAAGAAUAUCUGACAAAUAAAACAUAACUCUCAACGUUUAGGUUGC
ensembl:lncRNA